AGUGCCUUGAAAUCCUUCGUUGGUGUACCAACUCUCUCAGGAUUUGAGGCCAGAUCAAAUGCCUUGAAUUUGGCUUCCUCAAACUGGAGUGCCUGGUUAGAGAACAUGUAAUUUGCAACUCAGUCAAGAUGGGGCACAACCAAGAAAUCUAACGUUAUGUAUGAAUAUAUAAUGGUAAGCAGAGAAGAACAAGCAAGAAUUGAAACAGAAAAAAUGCAUAAUGAACAUGCACAAGCCCUUGUAAACUAUUACCUGAAUGCAAACUUCUGCAACAUCAUUCCUAGUAAUGGUCCUUGUUUCUGUCUUAAGAAGCUCAUCAUCCUUGCCAACAAGUAAUUCCCGGAUGCCACCUUCUCUAUCUUGUAAGCCUCCAGCCCUGUUUCCGCCAUAGAAGUACAUGUCAUUUGGCUAGUUACAACUUACUAGUUAAACAAUGUAGAUAAAAAUUGAUAAAUUCAUUUAAAAUCACUCCUCAUUGAAACAAAAUAGAUAAUUAUCAUAGAAUCACGAAAGGUAUUAGGGGAAACUCCAGAAAAAGUUCAAGGAAUUUGAACCUGAGAAAACCAACUAUUGUUACAAAAAUUUCAUUAUUUAAGAAAUAGUUAUUGGGACAAUUUCAGGUAACUAAGGAAUUGAAUAAAUAGAAUGGUACAGUUGGAAUUGCGUAAGCUUGACAAAAUGGUCAGGAACAAAAUUUGUAAAUAUCAUUAAAUAAAAUUAUACUUUUGUCACAUUGUGUUGUAAAAGGGUGAGAAAUUAAAGAGCAUAAAUGUGUUGCUAGUUGUUCCUACUCCCAGACAGGAAUGAGGAGAUCAUUUUUCUCAUGCACCAGCUAGGCUUUAAAGAAGAUAGGUUGUCUGUAUUUUAAAAGUUAUUUUAAUGGUUUUUGGGUAAAAGAAUAUGUUAUCCACAUAAUAACCUAGAGAAAAGUCAACCAUGUUGUAUCAAGUAACUAACAGUUAUUGAGAAACUGGAAAUAUUAAGUUAGAUGUACCUUAUAAUUGUGUAAGGUAUUCCAGAGUCUGCUAAAUACUGUUCAGCUUUUCUCUUCCAAACCUGUAAAAUGGAAUACAUAAUUUCAAAGAAAAUGCCUUGCAAUACAUUUCCUUGAUCAGAAUAAAUUCACAACACAGGAGGAAAAAACAAAGAAAAGACCUACAAUAAGAACAUAGGGCACCAAAAAUAAAAAACAAUGUGAAGAACAACCUGGAAGCUGGAAAAUAUUUUGUGAAGAGAUGUAAACCAGUUACUCAUAAGAUUCAUUUAAGUAACUCACUUGUCAUUUAGGUAAUUCUUCUCACUUUCCAAAUCUAAUGCAAUCGACCAUUUAGACUGGUAAAGAGUUGAUGAUCCAGAUAACAGACAAGGAGUGUAGGGUGUCACUGACCUAUUAGAAUUGCAAGUAAAUGGAGCUUUUGAAAGAAAUCAUAUUUAAUCCCUUUCAAGACAGCAUCUGAAACAUGUAUGUUUUUCUUAACACAAGUCAUUCCAAGAAAUGAUCUUUUAGCCAUUGUUUACUUUUCUUUGUCUAUCAAAAUUUUUGUUUUGUAUGAAUCCAUUUCAGAUCAUAGAACUGUGGCCCUACCAUGGCAGGAAAAAAUAAAAUUGAAUCAUUUCUUUAGAACGAUAAUUCCAAGUGCCCUGUAUGUAGAUUCUUUACCUAUUUGAACAAUGAAAAUAGACCUUUGACCUUUCCAUGUUGUCUCAAGUAUGAGAGUUUUAUGAGCUCAUUAAGCUUUCCAGGCUAGUAAUAAUUCCAUGGUGAUAAGCCAUAGGAACACCAAUUUAAGCUUUUAAGAAUAACCAAGACAAGGAUAAUGCAAAUAAAAAGCAUUCAUAAAAAUGAGAACUCAUUUUCACAAACAUGACACCCAAAUUGUUAAAGAGAGUAAGUAAUUUUCUGAACAAAAAUAAAAAAGAAUCACAAACCAGGAUAUUCCCAUUUCCCAAGCUGUUCAAGGGAUGGUUUAGGUCUGUUCCUCCCAUAGACCCAACCAACACAAUAUGCUUCACUCCUGCAGUUUUUGCUGUAAAUAUGGAUAAUAUGAUUCAGGCCAUUCAAUACCAAAGCGAACAUAUUGAAAAUAAAUACAUAACCUGAUUAAUAUGACAGAAAGAAAAUCUCACCAACAUCUAUUUGAUUCUUUUGCCCAAUCCAGUCAACCUAACAUAAAAAAGAAAACUUUCAACAUAAGGCAAAAGAAACAUGGACAACAGAAAUUCUAUAAUCCUAAAAUCAGAUAACUAAGUAGUUACCUGCUCAGGAAAGGCUCCUUCUUCAAAAUAAAACUCUGGCCUUUGACCUUUAGUUGGAUCAAACCCAGGUUUCAUCCUAGGCACAGCACUUGUGAGAAUUAUGAGAGCAUCAACACCUUGGAUUGCAGGAACAAUGCUAUCAGCAUUCCUUAUAUCUCCAACCAAAACAUCAUCGGCUCCUCCAAUUUUCUCCUUGCUCUCCUCUGUUCUGACCAAACCUCUGGCAACAAACUGGUCUGCCCUCUCCUUCAAUUUCUUAUAAACUAUUUGGCCUGAAAAUUUUAACCGAUAAAUAUCAACCAAAUUAAAAAAUUCUUGGUCAAAGAGAGAAGGGUAAGAUAUUUCCCACCCAUUUGCACUUACAAAGAGAGUAAACACAAGUCAGGAAAUUACUGGCAUCUGUCCUAGUUCAUAUAGAGCAACACAAAGACAUUGCAUGAAAUAUUUUCAGGAUCUAACAAUCAAAUCGGUGAAAUUCCAAAAGGGCAACACAAUAAUCAAGAGAUCACAAUUUCAAUGGUAAUGUCUUCAGCAGCACAAUUGUGAUCCUCAUGCUGUUUUGGGGAAAGAUCCUAACUGUAGAUAUUUUAAUGAAGAUGAAUUGGACAAUGGUAAACAAAUGCACUGCCUGUAAAGAUGGUGGAAAAUCAACUGAUCAUAUCUUGAUUUACUGUGAAAACUCAAGAGUGCUAUGGACCCUUCUUAGCAGUUUUUGGCUUGAAUUGUGUGUUUCCAGCUUUGGUGAGAAAUUUCCUCUUUGAAUGAAAAUUUAAGGGAGUAGAUAAGAAGAGAAGAACAGUCUAGCUCUGACUCUCCUUUGUUAGUUUGUUUGUUUUGAUGUAUGUGGAAAGAAUGUAACUGGAGGAUUGUCAAUGAAAAAUAGCUCUCAGAUCAAAGGUUGAAAGAGGUCUUCAUUAAAUUCCUUUUUGGAAUGGUCCCAUGCUUCUUUGGAAAUGGAGAGAUUCUCCAUGAUGGAUCUUAGAUACCCUUUCCUGUGGAUCGUGUGGUGUUUUACAGGCUUUUCCUAUUUACUAUGCCUUUUUCUGUUUUGGUUGUGCUGUUUUGUGUAUGCUUCAUGCAUAAAUUGCGUGCCCCCCUCAUUAAUAGAUGCUCUUUUUGUCUGUCAGGAAACAAAGCCCACCGAAACUAUCCUUGGACCCUUGUGGAAAUUUAGCUUGAUUACAUAGACGUCUUCUUUAGAUUUUCAAUUGGGUUUCUCUAUUGUAAAUCAGUAUUUCUCUUUUAUCUGACAAAAAAAAAAGUAGAAAUAUUUACCAAAAGACAAAAACUAUUCUAGGGAAAAUCUAUGUGUUGUUUCAAUAGAAAUAUCUACUUCCCGAACCACGGAUCGCCAAUCAAACAGCCUCCGACCAUUAUAAAAUUUGGGUGUUACGAGACGCUCGGACUACAACCCAGAACACAAUACAACUGAUAUGAAAUUAAAUAUGAGUUUUUCCAAUUUCACAAACCAAAAGAUUUACAAUCAAUGAAACCCUUAUGGGAAAAAGAUUCAAACAUCACAUGCCCAAAUUCCCACUGAUUCGCCCAAACAAUUCCCUAAACCUCCCACCCACCCUACAUACAAAGUGGAAAUCCCCAUAGCCACGUCAAAAACCAUUAUAUUCUUCAGCAUACAUGCUUGAAAAGAGAAAAUUUGGACCGGUGUACCUGUUCUACCGCCGGCACCGGUAACAAGAACUGUGGGCAAAUCCGCCAUUGCUGCUGAAACUACAACUCCAAGUCUUCUGAAACCCCUCCUGUUAGUUGUUGCAAGAAAUGAGGAUGAAGAAGAAGAAGAAGAAUAACAGAGGGAUUUAUUAAAGAGCCUGUAACUGCCUGGCUGUCGUCUUAAUGGGAAUGAAGACUCCACCCAAUUCGAUUGAUGGCAAUGUCGGAGUCUUGAAGAGGUGGUUGAGACCAAUGGGACACGUGUCGCCGUUGCCAUAUUUAUCCACCACUAGUAGGACGGAUCUCUGUCCAUUCGGCCGUGGUUAAUACCUCCCAGUUCGCGAACCACCCAGAAAUGUUCUCCCUUGUCGCCAAAGUAGUCGUUACCUUAUCUAACUACGUACAAUUGCUAACCCAGUGCGCCUUCUACCACGCGCCGCUCGACGCUCCAUCCACACGGUAGUAUGGAACCCACGUCUCCCCACCUGAGUAAGCGCGUGGAGAGGGCCGAGUCGACUUCGCUCUUUGAUUGCAUUUUAGGCCCAUGAACUGGGGCUUGGCUUGUACGGGCAUAUAGGCCAAGAUCUUGGAAAUGAGCUUUAACAAGGCCGAACAGGAAGAAGCCCAAUAAAGCAUGUUGGGCCCCCACCGCGUCUCUGCUUUUUUGUUUUUGUUUUUUUUUUUUUAAUUUUUCCCCUCCAUUUAUUUCCCUUUUUCUUUCUUUUGUAUUCAACUUUUUGGUAACAUCAACUCCGUGGGAUUUUGUAAUGCAAAAUUUCACACAACUGACACAUAGACCAAUCAAAUCCUUUCUCAUCAUCAUAAUUGGGCUAAAGAUAAGGAUAUGACGAUUGGGUUGAAUGAGGUAGCACAAGCUAGGCUUCAAUUCCUAAUAAUGUCUUCUUGGUAUGUUUAAAAUAUAAAAUAUUCUAAUCAUGCAUGUAUAUAAAAUACCUCAUAUGAUUGGCAUGGCCUUCUUUCUUUUGAAUCUUUGAUGAUUAGGACUUGAGUGAGACCAGAAAUGAACGAAAGAAUUCCAAGGGAGGAAAUUUCUGCUUUUAUUAUAAUACUAAACAGAGGACAUUUUAACAAUAAUCACAACAAAACAUCUACAUCAUUUGAACAAGGGGAUAGGAAUGAGAAUGACAAGAUCUUGAAAACUCGAUUCCUUUCCUUUCCUUUCCUUCCACAGGUAGAGGGUGAUGACAUAAAAUCUAGGCUGUCACAGGUGUCUCCACUGCAACCUGGCCAGCGUAACCAACUUCUGAUUUCUUGUCCCCCUCCCACAGCUCUGGUAAUGCUUCCCUCAUGUUGUGGAUGCUCUCUAAUGCAAAAUCCGCCCCUUUAAUUCUCUGAGAGGUGCCAACCUGGGUAGGACGUAUAAUGAAGAGAGCAAAUUAUUAGCUAUCAGAUUACUAGAUUGGACCAUUUUGCCAGUGGUACAAAGAUUGUCAAUGACCUACCAGAACUGUGUGGAGUCCCACACGUUUUCCAGACUGUAUGUUGCGAGCACUGUCUUCAAAGAACAGCUGAAAGAGUAACAAGUUCCAACAAACACAAAAGCAUGAGUACUGAAUUAAAAUGGGAAUUCACAGACAAGACCAGACACCCAAAUCAUAAAAAGGGAUCAUCUUACUGUUCUCUGAGGGUUGAUGUUGGCUAUCCUGAGGGCCCGUUCAAUUGCAGCUUCUGAUGGUUUGCAGACAAUUGGUGUCUUUGGCAAAGCUGUACCCGCAUUAGGUUGAGAAAAGUGCCCAAUGAUAUCAAAGAUUUCAGUGCUACUAGUAGUUGUAGUAGCAGUAGCGGUAUUAGCAGUUAAUCUCACAAAGGCAAUAUCAUCCUCAUCAUCGGACACAGUGCUCUUGUGACUGGGAUUCAGGGUCUCAAAGCAGAUGACUCCUUCGAAACAGUCUUCUAAUCCAAGUCUGCUGAGAGCUUUAGCCGCAUGAACUUUGUCUGCAUUGGUGAAGAUCUAAUUUUACAGAGAAAAGAGAGAGAUUGUAAAAAAAAAGGCAGCUUCAAACCCAUACCCUAUACUACAGCAUGGUUUUCAGGAGCAGAUACUUACAACUUUCCGAAUGGGCAAGCUUAGCAAAAGGCUCCUCAAGACAGGGUCUGGUUUUAGAUUCUCAUAGGGUAGUCUCCCAUGGACAAAACUGCAAAACAGGAAAAUUAAAAGGUUAAAAACUUUUAUCGGAUGCAACCCAGCACAGUGAAAGAUUGUUAUCCUUCUCAAAUCAAUAGGGGGUUUAAAAAGAGAGAGAGAAAGAGGGCCCCUUCCCUACCUGUGAUAUUCAUCAUAGUCAAAAUCAUAUCCAAUUGCCUGCAAAUAAGAAACCCCAUGGACCCAAGUUCAUGAAUAGGAUGUUGUAUUAAUAAUAAAGAAGAUACUAAAAAGAAGAAUCCAGAAUAUACCCUGAGACCGGCCAUUGUUGUCCCAUAAUUCUUGUACAGUAGGUUGCCCAAGUCAGCGAUUUUGUUCUUCUCUAUGCCAAGCUUUUCAACCAUAUAGUCUAGAAAAAAGCAUCAUAAUAAAGUCAGAUACUCGAAAAUCCCAAAAAACAAAUAGGAGAAGACCAAGGAAUAAAUAACAACCAUGCAUAUAUAUACCUUCAAUAUUGUUGCGGCACGCUUUUGCCAAGCCAGAGCUAAGAGGAUACAGGGUAUCAUCUAGAUCUGCAAGUUCAAAGAAAUAGUUAUUUGCUAAUUCCUUUUGAGGAUAAUCCACUUUGACAACCAGAUGUUCUGAAAAGAAAAGCAUACCGAACAAAAGGCAAUCGUAUUUGUUCCUCUGAGCCUGCAGAUAGAUGUCUCCAUACUCCAUUUUAAUCUAAAAAAACUCAAAUAGGCAAUGAAAAGAUGUGAGAACUAGGCACCAGGACAAAUCAAACCCACCCAAUUCCAUACCAACACGCAUUCUAGUUCUCAAUCUAUAUUUCAUUCCUUUAAAAUGAUUAAAUCCUUAAACCUCACGGCUUCUUGACUCAUAUUACAAUCAUAACAAUAGAAUAAAAAAAGGGGUCUAGACAGUGGACAAUUUGUGGCCAAUCCCACGUAGUCGGAUUAGAUUAGAUCGAGGACAGGUGGACCAGUGGAUUGAAGGGAUUCAAAACAUAGCUGUAAAUUCUUAAAAUAUACUACUCAGAAAUAAAAAGGUUCUGUUUUAAUUAAGAAAAUUAGUUGUCCACAAAAUAAACAGGAAAGACAGAGAAAAGGCCAUGACAACAUUGCUUAUACAAGGCUCAUGUAAGAGACGAGGUCUUUUCCAGGGAGUACCACGACUUUAAAUAACCAAAAUACAACUCAUACAACAUAUAAGCAAGUCAAAGAAGCAACAAAGAAAUAGAAAAUCAGGACCUAAAUCGAGAUGAUGCUUGAAUAGAGAAUACACCAUUCCAAAGGAUGAAACCCCAUGGAUUUCUUAGCGUGGAGUUGAUUAUAGGAAAAGCCUAAAAAUAAUAGUUGAAAACAAAACAAAAAAGAAAGAAUUUAGAUUAAAAGGGCCCUCUUCUGUGCCGGCGGAAACAGAAUGCGUAUUCUGGCCUUAAAACAGCCAAUUGACAGACUUUGAUUCAACUCUCCAAAAGAGUUAAAUAUCAAGUCUAAAUGAACGAACAAAGUUCAAGUUUAGAGCCACAAAUCAAAAUUUAAACCCAGAAAUUUAGCAUUAGAUCCGAAAAACAGAACAAAAGCCCCCAAAUGCUUUAGCUCCCACCAACGGAUCAGGCCAUGGUUCAGAGACCCCACUUGUCAUAUUGUCGAAAGCAUAAAAAUUUGGAUCUAACCAGAGUUUCAUCAACAUCCAUAGGUAUGGGAUUAGGAGGACCAAUCAAGCAUAGAGAUUUUGCAUUUAGUUUACUUAAAAACCAAUUGAAACUGCAAACACAGCCAAAUGCAAGAAAACUCGAAGGGACUUCAAGAAACAGAACGUACCAGGCUCAAAUGGCGAAUACGAAGGGGAGAAAGGUUUAGAGAGAGAGAGAGAGAAGGAGAGAGAGGGAUAAGAGUAAUGAUAUGGGAAUGAAUGAAGCAGUGGUGAGCGAGGAGGAAGCGCUGAAGCCAGCGCCUGGGUUUAAAUAGACGAAGAACCGUUGCUUCCUUCUCAUUUUUAAAUUCAAUUAUUAAUUAUUUAAUUAAUUUAACCCACGUUUAUUAUUCUAAAAAAUCAGUCUAAAUACUUGAGUUCACACGUUUGGGCUCUCUAUUCCAGAGAAAUUUCCAGAUUGCCACGCUUCCGAACUUUAAUGGUCUAAUAUGUCGCUUCUAUUUGACCACGUGGCGCCAUGGCAGGCAUUAUUGAAGAGGCAAUUUUAAAAUCACAGUCAUACCCUUGGGCGAUGUGAAGUAUGCCAAUUGAAUUGUAAAUCGUAAAUUGUAAAGGGGGCUGGCACAUGGGCGUUUUGGUCAUUAAAAUAAGAAAGACAUUAGCCACGAGACGUGAGGGUUUGGCUUGGAGAUGGAGUAUACGGUGGAGCCUCUUCUUCACCAUCCAUGGGAAAAAGGUCCCAUGAUUAGAAAUUUAGAACUUAGAGAGGAGUAGAGGCCAUGUAAAGAUUGGAUCAAUCUGUGAAUAACCGUCGUUUUCCAUUUCUCCUUUUUUUAAACCUUUUUCAUGAAAGAGAUCAGACCUCCACUUUCCACGUAUUUAAGCUAAAAGGUAUAGAUCUCUGUGAUUGUCAAUGUUACCCAAACUUCACUCUACACGUUUAUUUGUUUAUUUAUUUAUUUAUCUUUGUGAUAUCCAUGUUGGUAAAUAAUAAAUAAUUGUUUUUAAUUUUAUAAAUGUGUUUUAAAGUGGUUCGAAUAUUUUAAAUUCGGACCGAGCAUAUAUGUAUAUAAAAAGAGUGGACUAUUAAAUUUGUAGUUGAAAAUGAAGACAGCUCAAAAUGAUGCUCGGGUCAAGAUCCAGGGCUUUGGCCUCAUAUAACAGGGGCUGCUAUGCUUUUCAAGGAUGGGGGAAAAUAGCAUUUUCAAAGCAGAAACAGAGAUGGGAGGAUUCGUGAAGAAAUUGUAUUUGCUUUCAUUAAAGUGGGUGCCAACUGCCCUCGUUUGUUUCGAACAUUUUAGGGGUUUCUCCAUAGCAUGUGUAAGUUCCUUGAAAUUAACAUUUGGGAGUGAAAAGGGAAAAAGACAAAGAAAAAGAAAGGAAACAGUGGAGAGUUGAAGGAUUGGGGGAUGGGUUCCACCAAGUAGAAUAUAUGAUGCAUGACAACACUGGAUGUUUUGCGAAGAUGGGGUUGUUAUAGCAAAUAAUAAACAAAUGAGAAGAAGAUCUAUAUAAUUGAAGCCUGUGCCGCCACUCAUAUAAAUUGAAAAUGACCAACCUUUUUUACGCAGUGUAGACCAUGACACAACUCCAUAGCCUUUGUUUAAUGGAGGGAGGAAAUUAUUGGACCCCUAGUUUACAAACCUGGGAAAAGUACAAAAAAAGUAGAUGAAAAAGGCCUAAAAGAAAAAGAAUGGGGGAGUCUUGUUUAGUCAUUCUUUCCACUUCAAAAUUGCUUAAAGUAAACGUCGUUACGUAUUUGAAAAGAACAUCGCAGUGGUGGUGUAUGAAAAUGACCAUUUUUAACUCUUUCAAUUGAACGCUUCCUUGCCUCAAUUAUUUCAACUCCCUGGGCUGGCCAUGACUAUGACCUUUUAUUUAUUUACUUAUAAUUGUUUAUUAAUGCUGUUAAUAUAAUUAUUAUAAUUAUUAUUUUUAUUAUUAUGAUUAGGAGGUUCAUAGCUUCCGGUAGGUAAGGUGGGUUGAGUAGGAAAGGUAUAGCAAUAGAGAUCAUAAACUAUUCUAUGACAGUAAUCGGAUGAUUAUAAAUUAUAACAUAAGAAAAUCUCUUACUAUAAUGGGUUCAUCUACGGACAAUGAAAUAUACUUUUUUUCGAUAAGUACCAAAAAGAUAUCACUAAUUAGGAGAUCAUAAACCAUUUUGUGAUAGCAAUUGAAUGAUUUUAACAUAAGAAGAUCUCUCGUUGUAAUAGAUUCACCUACGAUAUCGAAAUAUAUUAAUUUUUUAAUUACGUCUUGAAAAGACAUCACCAAUUAUGCGAUGUCAUAAAUACUUUUUAAAAUCUCAUUUUUUAUACUUUAAUCUUAUUUAUUUAUAUUAUUUUACAUCAGUUUCAUUUAUUUGUAUUCAGGUAUGAACAUGCCUUGGAUGGGGUUUUAACAUUUUCUAGUCUUACCAAUAUUUCAUUUUUGCCUUGCCAAUAAGCUCGGUAGGUGCAUCCAGCUAUUAGAUUCUUGGGUUUUGCUCCCCUUUUUAUAAUUUGUACUGACUUGGAGAAGCUUUACAGAUCAGGUCAUACCCAUCUCAGUGCCAAGGUAAUUGGAAAUAUGUGGGGAAGCCUAAAGCCCAAAACGUUUUAAAAUUUGAGAAUAAGGCAGGAAUCAUGAGAUAGGCCCGGUGGUUGAAGUGAAUUUUGGAAUUAUGAGCCCAAUAAUUGCGUUCCUAAGAUAUUUUAGUGUUUUUAUUUUUUAGUUUUGGUCCUUGGUCAAACAAAAUUAUUGAAGGUUUUGAAGGGUUGGCUCCACGAGGACACUUCUAUAAUUAUGAAUUCAAUAUCAUAAUUUUUGUCAUUACUAAAUGUGUAGGCAUGGGCAUCCAUAUGGAGAAGCUUCGCAAGCCAGGACAACAAGUUCAAAGCUUUUACGCUUCUAAAUUGGAGUUCCACAAAUCUGCUUUUUUACAUUAAAAACAAGAGCGUAUGUGACAUGUGAUCCUGCUUACACCAAUAUUUUUUCUUUUGAACCUUAAGGGUUAUCGUUUUGGGCCGUCUAAAAUAUUUAUAUUGCGGAUGUACAGACUGUACUUGGUGCUUUAUACAUGAAAGGCAUGUCAAAGGAGAAGAUACUGAUUAAAUUAAUCUGCAAAUCAUCAAAUCAGGGUUAAGAGAAGAGAGUGGGUGAGUGUUAAACAAUAUAUUCAAUUGUAUUAUUGUUUACUACUAGUGCAGCAGCACAAUUUUGUGAAGCGCCGCAAUGUGGAGCUGCUAGCGAAGGAGGAUCACAUCCUUCUAGAUUCCAGACCAAAGCUAUUAUUUGAUAAGAACGAAACUUCACUGUUCCCAGGAACUCCACAGAUGAUUGGGUAUGAAUUAUUUUUCCAUGGAGUCGACUUUUGCUUUCCAACAAGGAGGGCAUUCAUGAAUGAUGACUAUCCCUUUUAUCCUCCAAAAGCAACAAUGCUUUGUCCAGUAUGAAAUGCAAGUAGCGCACUUGCUACCAUUAUCGAUCCACAAGCAGAUGAAAAUGGAGUCCCACCACGGAGAAUGAGUCCAAAAUGAAGGCCAAUCCAAUCCCAUCAGUGCUCCUCCUAUACAAAACACACCAUUACUCGGUUCGUCUCCAAGCAUAUCUAACAUUUCCAGUGGAAUUCUUCAUCAAAAGCCACACGCCCUUCUGUCCCGGGUAAAUCUACAGUUUCGGACAACUUACUAGUGUGACUUCCGUCAGAACAUCAUGUGCCCUGGUGAUGUGGGAUUUCUAAGACGUCAAUUUCUGUGGCGAAGCAUCCUGUUUAUAAUGGUUUCAACUUACAUGCGCAACAUAACAUCACUCAAAAGCCUCUGGUCCAUGCUGCCACUACUGCAUGACACUUGGCGAAACACUUCCAUUUUUUCAAAAUGUAAUUUGUUUCCACCAAAUUUUGAGACCAUGAGAGAGAAUUGAGGUUGAAUGGAAAUUUUGAGACCAUGAGAUAGAAUUGAGGUUGAGAGUCCAUUCAGAUUGCCUUUUGUUUGUACUCCCAGGAUUUAAAACAAGAGGUUCCAUCAUCUUAGAAAUCCUUAUCUAGGAACGUGACCACGAGCACCACGUAUCUUUUGUUUUUAUGAGGCCUCCCCUUCCAUUGGUCUAGUGCAAAAGCACUGUGAGCGUACAGGCCACCACUUUGGGGGGGGGUCAUCCAAUGCACUGUCCCCAUCCGUCCGGUCUUAUCACAUAAGCCAAGAUCUGAGCUGAUGUGGCAAGAUCUGAACAAUGUACUGGACAUCCAUAACUGGAGAGGAGCCAAGUUCCUAAUUUAUGAGCUGUGGAGAGAAAUCAGCAUCAUAGAUAUGUCUGCAAUGGUGAAAUAUGAUCGCAAAGGAACAAACGAGUGGCGGGCAACAUUCAUCGGCUCGCAACAAGUCCAAAAACUAGAAUCAUGGCGGAUUCAAUCAUAAAGAUGCUUGAAAAGGACUCCGUUAAUAAGUUUAAAAUAUCAUCACCGCCCAAUUGCUAUCACCACAAGGUAUCGAUUUGGUUUUUAGCAAACAUUUCUUCAGAGACUGAUAUGGCAUUAAAAAAUACUGGAAAAAAGAAAAACUAAAAAGAAGGUACAAAACCCAUGCUGCAAUAAAAUAGUUUUACGUGCCAAUGAAACCCCAAAUUUCACAGAGAGUAGUUUGAUUGAAAAUUCCUGAAAGAGCAGUACAAAAAUUUCCACCCAUGCUCUUAAUAAGAAUUCCUCAUUUUUUUUUCUAAUCCUAAAAGAAUGAUAAAAGGCAUCUAGUAUAAGAAUUUGAUCAGGACAUCAACCCAAGAAAAUACACAAUAAAGAGUAGAGUUGCAUAGAUAAUAUUUAUUUGUACAUGUGAUAAUUUUUACAGCCUCUUCAACAACUAUGUAGGCAUUACCUCAGGCUUGAAAGUUGAUGACCUGCCAAUCUCCACACACUCACUCUCUGUGACCUCUCUAUUCUUCUUGUCUCCGUCUUGAAACCAUUGCUUAAACCUAUCAUAAUUUGUGGGCUCACUUGUCUUAAAUGGGCGCUCACCCAAUACUCGAACCAAGUCAUCUUGAUGAAGAACUUUCUCGAGCGACAGCUCUGCAAUCAUAGCUACUGGCUCUUUGUGCUCUUCUAUCAGCUUUACCGUGCGGUCAUAUGCCUUAGCCACCCAUUCUCUUACUUCAUUGUCAAUAACUGCACUGGUCUUGCUACUGUAGGGCUUGGUCAUCUCAAAUGCAUCAUCCCUUUGAGGGAAAGAAAGAAGUCCUACCUUCUCACUGAAACCAUAGACUGCUACUUGGGCAUAGAUCAUCUUUGUCACUUUCUCCAAGUCAUUCUGGGCUCCAGUUGAGAUCUUCCCCAAUAAUACCUACUUCCAGAUUUUCAUUUGAACACCAAAUGGAUUACGAUAGAUUCUAAUUGCUUUUCUGUUUUCAUAACAGAUUAUUUGUCCAAAAUCACAUCAAAAGUGAACCUAUCUUAUCUUCCUAACUGUUAAAAGUUGUGUUGAACUAUCACUUCCACCCAAAAGCUUAAACAAUUAGAGAAAAGAACAAUGUAUAUCAGGUUAAUGCCCUCCCUUGCUGGUUCCUAAACUGCAACCCCACAAAGAAAUGGGGGAAAACAGCCAUAGAGGUUUAAAUCCAAAGCUCUAAGAACCAGAGUUCUAAUGCCACCUUAAACUAUUAGUUGCCCCUAAAGCUUAAAAUUAUAGAGGAGGAUAAACAAUAUAUAUUAGGCUAGAACCUUCCCCACACAUAGCACAACUAACUGCUUAAAAGAAAGGUCGCCAAUUAUAGGAAACAAAUUGGGGAAACAAAAAAGAGGUCUGAAAUCCAAGACCUUAGAAACCUAAAGCUUUUGAGAUAGCUGUCUGAUAGAUUAACAUGAUAGCAAAGUAUUGGUUUCUUUAAAACCUUUGUCUUUGUCUCUUCACUAUUUGUUUGUCUAUAUUAUUGCUUGUUCCUUCACAUACAGGUUUGCCUUGCAUAUGAGGAAUGUUAUUAGCAUAAUAUACCUGUUGGUUCAUUCCCUAAUAACUUAAGGUUUCGGAGCAAGUGGUAGUUUAACAAUGAGAAACACGAGUUCCUUUUAAUAACGCCAAAAGUGAUUAAUAACUUGGGAGUAUUAUGCAUGUUAGACUGGAAUACAUUAUGAGCUCAUAUCCAAACAUUGUAAGCUUUUUUGCCAAAAAUUGGAUGCUUAAUUUGGUAUCAGGGCUAUGAUCAACUAGAGAUCUGUGGUUCAUGCAUUUCUUCCUGUUUACUCCCCAUCUAUUUAUUUAUUAUCUCUCUGUGUGCAAAUAUCAAGGCACACGUGAGGGAGGCUAUUAUCCUGGCAUACAUUGUGGCUCCACGUCUUAAGAACUUAGCCAUGUGAGGGAGAGUGAUAGCCUAGUAUACAUUUUGAGCCCAUAAGCUUUUAGAAAAGUCGGUACCUUAAUGACACACCAAUUUUCGAGUCUUUAAGAAAGCAAUAUUCAAGAAGAAAAUGUAUCAUGUUAAGAAACAUUUCUGUAAUAAAACCUGCCAUAUUUGGAUUUUGUCUAUGGAUUUUGUUUACUGGUUGGGUUCAAAGUAGAAGAGGGAAGGUUCUUCUUUCUCUAAUCUUUUUGCUUGGUGCCCUUUGUCUACUCCAUGUAUACUCUGGUGCAUCUUUGUUGUAGCUCUUUUUGCACACUAAUAAAAAAAAUAAAAAAAUAAAAACUGUGAUGUUCUUCUGUUCUUUUAUUUAAUGCUUUAGCAUUUGGAGCAUUUGUCUGAGGAAGGGCCCUUUUUCACUAAUGUUUCCAUUCAUCUCACGAUUGAAAAUUAUAGUUGUGUGUAUUCAUUAAUAAUUCCAUCAUGAUGUUGAGGGAGAAAAAAAGAUGGCAUGGGAGGGGUUAGCAGCCAUAACUGAAAUGGAUAACAAGCUAAAUUGCAGGCCAGCAGCCUCAAAUACCUUUAAUAUUUAAAAAGAAAUCCAUUUAUGCUCCACCUAAUUACCAAGAAUGUCAAAAAAUGAAAGGGGAACUUGGAACCUUACUAGUGUUAACACUUAACAGCCACUUCAAAUCAAACCUAUCACAAGAUUUCAAGAUUCUAAGAUCUUGUUUCUUGUCCUAUAUUUAUUAUUUACUAUGCAAUCAAGUAGAGUUUCAGUCCAAUGCUACUCUGACACUUUCUGCAUUCUACAUAUGUCAAAAAUAAGAGCUGAAGUUUUACUAAGAGACGCAUGUAAGAAUGUGAAAAUUUGGUGAAAAAGGAAAUGAAAAAAAGAUCAAUUUGUAAGAACAAUGUUUUGAUUAAUCAUGCAAGUGCCCAAGACACGAGAAAUUAUAGUGCAUAGUAGAGGAGCUAGGAAACUAUUCCAAGGGGCCAAAGUGUAAAAGAUUUAUUUUCUUGAGGGGAGGGGUGUUUUUGGCAAGCACGGGCAAAAUUAGAGAGAAUAAAAACUUUAGCUUAGUGGCAAUGUCAUUUUACCAUUGUAUAAAAGGUAAUGUUUUCAAACUUGGACCUAGCCAACCAGCUGAACCGGUUCAACCGUUUGUUCUGCCUUUUUUCAAUUCAAGGAAUUAACCAAUUUAGUGGUAAAACCAGCCGGUUUGGAAAACUCUCCCCUAAAAAGGAAUAAUAGGGUAACCUGGCAGCCACUAGGCUACACUCAACUUUUAUCAUAUAGAUGACUUAGAAUAGUUAUAUAGAGCAAUGGUACUUAUUUUAAUUUUUCACCAUUUUGAUUAUCUAAAAACUUCAAAGUCAAUAAAAAUAUUUACCCUAAAUGAGAAACAAGAAAAUGCUAUAGGUAAAUGAACAUAUUAAAUUUUAAAAUAAUAGAAUGAUGAAAUGUAUAGCAAUUGAAAUGUCAGGAAAGUUCAAUAAUAAAAUUUUCUUUCACUUUUAAAUAGAUCCUUUAAGCAGUUAAAUGUUAUACAAGCAUUAUCUAAGCCAAAGAUUAAGAACUCAUUUAAGGCAUAUAAAGAAAGAGACAGUUAAAGUAAGAUUUUUAUGAGAACUGCCCAACAUAUAAAACCAAGGCAAAAGUUAAUAGGAUUAUAAGAUAGACAGCUAUAGAUCUCAUACUUUAAAUAGGAGAUACUUUGGGAGAUUCCAUUAAUGCCGCAAAAUUGCUGUUUUGAAUAUAACAAAUAAGAAAAAAUCACAAUUUGCAAGCUCUAGGUGCUUACUUGUAUACACUAAGGAGCCUCCACAAACGGGAGUGGUUAUGGGGUAUUCAUAGUAAUUUAAAUGAGAAGGGUCCAAUUAUUUCCAUGAUUAUUUUUAGAACACCUCCAUUUCUUAUAUUAUAAAUCAAUAAAUCUGACAAACAAUAUAUUUCUUACACCAUAUUUUUUUUUUGAUAAGUAAACACGGAAUAUAUUAACACUCUUACACUCCAUAUCAAUGCAUCCAAUGAACAAUAUAUGUGAAAUAGAGGUACAAAAUCACUUUUCACUGAAGGAAAAGGAGUUACAAACAACAUACUUUGUAGCUGAAAGUAAACAAAAAGAAUAUGCAGUAUGUGAGAAAAAUAAAUACUGAAAGUAAACAAAAAGAAUAUGCAGUAUGUGAGAAAAAUAAAUACUGAAAGAAAAUAAAAGGAAGAUGCAGUAUGAGAGAAAAAUAAAUACCCUGUUCUUCUUCUCCAGACCACCUAUGAUCCUGUCUAUAGCUGCCUCAAAAUGUUCCAUCUUCACCUGUGUACUCUCAUUCCUUGCGGAAAUUAAGGCAGUUUCAUUACAAACAUGUGCAAUGCUGCUCCAGCAAAUCCAGGAGUGAGAGCAGCAAGCCUCUGAGAGUAAUAUGAUGGCUCACAAUCAAGUUUUAUCUUAUUCAGAUAGAUCAGAAAUAUCUGGUCACGGCCUUUAAUAUCAGGUUUGUCAAUGGUAAUUUGACGGUCAAACCGACCAGGUCUCAAUAAGGCCUUUGUCUAAAGUAUCAGGCCUAUUUGUACCAGCAAGUACAACUACUCCAGAAGUUGUUCCAAAUCCAUCCAUUUCCACAAGCAACUGAUUGAGAGUACUUUCACGCUCAUCAUUACCACGUAAAAGGCCUCCAUGCCUCCUUGCUCAACCAAUUGCAUCUAUCUCAUCAAUAAAAAUUAUGCUAGGUGCACAAUGUCUUGCCUCUUGAAACAAAUUUAUGACCCUGGAUGGUCCAACUCCAGCAAACAUUUCCAUAAAAUCUGAUCCAGAUAUAGAUAGGAAAAGCACAUCAGAUUUGCCUGCAGUUGCUUUUGCAAGAAGUGUCUUCCCUGUGCCAGGAGGGCCUACAAGAAGAGCACCUUUUGGAAUUUUUGCUCCCAACUCCUCAUAUUUCUUUGGCUUCUUGAGGAAGUGCACAAACUCCAUGAUUUCUUGCUUUGCCUCAUCACAGCCAGCCAGCUACAUCCUUGAAAUAUACCUGGAUUGCCACAUAAAAAUUCAAAAGCAAUUAUCCUUGCUGAAGAACUUAGUUUGAAUACCAUUUCUUUCUUCAUAGACCAAAAUCUGUGAGAUAAUCUGAAGUAAAUGAAAUGCCAUGGCUGACCUUGUUUUUAGAGUUCUUAUCCAAUUUGGCAAUAUGUGCUUUUCCAAUGUUGAAUAUUCCACGGCCCCUUCCACCAGUACCACCAACACCAAGUCCACCCUGCUGGAUUCUUUGCCUCAUGUACCAGAGGGAUCCUACCAGUAAGGCUAAUGGCACAAGCUUAAACAACUCUUGGAACCAAUUCAUUUCAGAUACAUAUGUUACAGGAACAUAAUUAUGGGGGUCUAUUCCUAAUGUUUCCUGAGCUUCCUCCAGCUUUUCCUCAAAAGACUCAACACUUCCAAUAUUAAAAUAGUAUCUAUACUGGCCCAUAUUUCCUCUAGCAAGGGUUCCAUGAUUAGGAUCCUGAACAGCAUCAUCAUCAUCGUGGGUAUGAUUUGUAAUUAGUGAUGAGUCCUUGACAUACACUUUUGCAACUAAUUUAUUUGCAACCACAAUAUAAUCCACUAGACGAGGUUCAAGUAGCUUCUUUUUGAACUCUUGGAAACUAAUAGGCAGAAUCUAAGCAGCUUAGCCCCCUCCCCAGGAGAAAAAAAAGAAGAAAGAAUUGGAAAGUAAAAUCCAAAAAACAAGCCAUCACAAAUUGAAGUAGACUCUAUUCAUAUUUGAAAAAGAAAACUCAUAAAAUGUCAAUUUUCAGAACAUAUAGCCAAUGCAAGCCUUGAAUUUAUGUCUUAGAUAGGCAUUAUUGCAAGUACAAUACACAAAAGCAAGGAAAAAUGAUUCACUGCAAUGAAAUCUAGCUAAAAUGCAGAUUACAUAAUAUGAAGAAAUUUAUGGUGGUGGAAUGAGGAGGUUCAGAAAAUAGUAGGUGCAAAAGGAGCAUGUCACAAAUGUUUGGUGUGCAUCCAGGAACAAGGGCAGCUUUCAGUAACAUAAUUUAGCCAAUUUAGAAGGUUCGUUAUAUGAUAAUCCCAACUUUCCUACAAUCCCUAAAACAUGACCUACAUUGCCUGAUGACUUUUUUUUAUAUACCUUUUUCAUUGUGUUUAGAAGGCUUCUUUUAGACAUAUACAAAAAGAACAUCAGGAGACACUCAAAUCUAGCCAACCCCAUCUUACUCCACCCCUUACCUUAGAGCUCUGACCUGGGGCAUUAUAUGUUUAGAAGAAUUUACCAAGAAAAUACAGACUUCACAUUGAGUAACUACUAUAAUAACAAUUUGUCAAUACUUGUUUCCAAAUACAGCACUUUUACAUAUGCUUCUUAGCCAAAGCCACAAAACUCAUGAAGCUUCAUGUUGGGUAGCAUCAUCAUAUCAAGGCCAAAAAUAGGCCAGCAAAGUAUCUUCAGCUACUACAAGAAUGAACACAGGGUAUUGAAAUCUUAAGUAUUGUUUAGUAAAAGAAAAUCAAAGUAAGAGAAAGAAUGCAUAUUACUAGACCAAUCUAUCUCAAAUACAGAAAGUCACUAAAUGUGGUGACUUACAAGCACCUUAAUUGUCUAGCAUUAACCAGCAAACCAAGUAUUGAAAGUAUAGUGAAAGGAAUGCCGACCUGCUUAUGCUCAUAAGAACCUAAAAGAUUUGAUGAAAGCAAAAACUCAAAGAACACUAAAGAAAUGAUUAUAUUGAGAAACUGCUUCAUGAAGUUCUCCUGAGAAUUCCCAUGAUCACUUGUACUUGAGUUCUCUAGAGAAGUUAAAAAAGAAUUGAAAACCAUGAACUCUGACACGAAUAUUUAGCACAAAAAAUAAAACUGAAUUCAAAACGAGCAAUAUAUUGUAUUAAAAGAAAUGACCAGUAAACCAUAUGACAACAUUAAGGCAUUUGGAUGGUGGAAAGUUUGAGAAAGUGAAGAAAAUAAAAUAACAAGGAAAACAGAAAGGAAGGAAAAAGUGGAAGAAAAUAAACAAUAAGUCUAUUCAAUUAAAUAAAUAUUUUCUCCAUCACUUCCAAUUGUAUUAAUCUAUUACAUAGAGAAUUAACAAAUUGAAGAUGAGGAAGUUUAGUUUUUUUAAAUAAUUUUCAUUUAUUUUAUUUUAUAUUUUAUGGAAAACCAAAUAGCAGAAUUUGAUAUUCCUUCCUUCUGUUUGUUCUGUUUUGUGUAAUUGCUCCUUUUUUCAAUGAAUACUUCCCCUGCAAAUGAAAUGACAAACGCAUUUCUCAAAUCGCACUUUUCCAGAUAAUUUACAAAAGAAACACCAGUCACCCUAAUAACAUUGUCAGGCACCUCUAGACUUUGAUUUCCGAUAUUUUCCUAUGUUUUUCUUACUUCACUUCUUUGGCACUCUGCUAGAAAAAAGACGCCGAAACUUAGGGUUUGCAAGAUCGGAGUUGGACUCAGAAGAGUAUGUAAUAGAAACCAGCUGCUUUCCAUGUCCAACAGAUGUCAUAUAACCUAUCACAAACCCUAACCCACCAUCCACGCGUGCAUUGCACGCAUUGCCCUGUACCUUCCAGGAUUCAUUCGAUAACAAAGACCUUACGCCAUGAUUACCGGGAAUCACAUUCUGUAACCAGAGAAUACAAAUAAAUUAACAACAAAAAUAAUUCAAAUUCAAAUAUUAAUAACAAUGACAAUAAAUUAGAAUUAAAAGUUACUUUUUGGAGCGUAGAGCGAACCAAGCGAGAAAGAGAGCGUCCGAUUCGCUUGAAAAACAUAACUUGGACAAUGCGAACAUGAAUAGUCUGGCGACUGGAAAACCUGGACAGACUCUAGGAAUCUGUAUGGUCCGAUAGAGCGCGAGAUGCAAAAUUUAGUAGGGUUGUGAGUGGCUGAUGUAAAAUUUGAGGGAAGGAGGAUGGAAAAGGCCGGCAAAUGAAUGCGGAAAAGACCGAGAUGUUGGUUUUCCGGAGUAGAAAACCGCCUAGUGUUGAUUUGAAAUUCCUUUUGUGUCCUUCAGAAUUGGGAUUUUUGUGUCUGAAUGUAUAUGCAGUUGGGAUGUUCAAGUGGGUUAGUUUUGUCAUUACGAAAAUUUACCAGAUUUAACAAAAUAGUUUUUAAAAAUAAAAUGAAAUAAACAACCAAUUUAAAAAGAACAAAUCUAAGUUAUUUUUACUAGUUUUAAAAAAUCAAGAGGAAAACAUAGAAAAUUUUUAAAAUAAAAAAAUUUAAAUUAAAUUAAAUAUAAUAUUACUCUGUUUCUCUCUUCACGAAUUUAAAACAUGAUCUUCCUUAAAAGAAAAACUUGACUUAUUAAUAUGUUUAAAAAAUUAAACUUUACUCAUUAUUCAUUUUAAAUAAAAUAUUAUUUUAAAUUGUUGUUAUUCAUUUUCAACAAAAAAAAAUUACAAAGAUUUUGAUAUGUGUAUGUUUCUAGCAUAUAUUAAAAUAAUAUUUUUUUUAUAAAAAAAUAUCAUUUAUAAUUUUUUUAUAAUAUUAUUAUUCAUGUUUUACUAAAAAUUAUUUAUUUUUAAAUUUAUUUACAAUUACAAAACUAUUUCCAUUUUUUAUAAGACUUUAAUUUAAUUUAAUUUAUCUUAUCUAAAUUGAAUUUGCAAUGUUUUCACAAAACCAAAACAAAAAAAUUAUUUUUAAAAACGACUUAUCCCAACAAGUUUUUUGUUUUUUUUUUAAAUUAUUUUUAAAAACAACUUGUCAAACAAUCUUAUUUUUUUGUUAUUUAAUUUAAAAACAAGUUUAAGAAAAUAUAUCCAAAUAGACCCUAAAUUUUUGUGUUGACUAUCACUGAGUUUUGAGUUACCAAAAUGAUUACCCAAGUAACUAUGAUCUUGAAUUUUUUUUCUUCUAGAAUAUAAAAUCAUAGUUGAUAAUAUGGUUUUGAUUUGUUUAAAAAACAUUCAAAACCGUAAUGACCAACUAUAGUUGUGUGACAUGGAUAUUGUUAGUUUGUAUGAAAAACAUUAGUUUGAAAAUUAUUUUGGAAAGAUAUCUAUUUUAUGAAAUUUCCCUUUUUCAAAUAAAUUAUUAUUGUUCAAAACUCAAUUAUCGCUUGUCUAUUAGAGAGAAAAAUAAGUCACAAUGAUAUCAUAACAUCUAUAUAAACAAUAUUAUUUUAAAUAGUAGAUGCAACACAUGUUUUUCAAAUAAAUUAUUUUUACUCAAAACUUGACUAUCGAUUAUCUAAUCUAUUAUAAGGAGAAUAUACGAUACAAAACAUUAUCAUGUUUGUAUAAACAAUUUCAUUUUAAAACAUAGGAACAACACAUGCUAGAUGUAUGUAACAUAACAUUUGUGUAAAAAAUAAAUAAAUAAAUAAAUAAAAAUGUCAUGCUGUAAAAUUUGUUAUUAUUACUGGACAUCAUGCCAUAGUAAUUUUUCAAUAAUAAAAAUAAAAUUAAUAUUUAAAUAUUUAAUUCAGAAGUGGGCUUUUGCAUCUAUUCACCAAUGGAUUUGAGGAAACAAAGAAAAAUCCCCUAUGGUGGAACAACUUCAAAUUCGAGUAGUCCACACAUACCCUCUUUUUAUUAUUCUUCCUAGGGUAACGAUCAUAUUCAUUAAGAUAUUGAAUUUCUUUAAUAAAUUUGGCUUUAAGAUAUGGAAUUUCUUUGAUAAACUUGAUUUCUAGGAGCCUCAUUAUCCCUUGGUUCAAAAUCUUUAGCUUGUCUAAAAUAGAUUUUUAUUUUUAUUUUUAUAACAAGAAUAUCAUAUUUAUCCACAUUCGGUCUAUGUGUAGCGGUUUUACAAUCUUUUAUCGGUAUGUUGUUCAUGUAAAUAUAUAAUGAAACUUCUUUAAAAAGGCAAUUAACUCACAUUAUUUGGACUUGAUUAAACUUUUAUCUACAUGAAAAGUCAAAUCUUUAUUUCUACCCAUUAUGUUAUUUGCCACAUUAACAACUUCAAUCUUAAGGACACUUGAGAAAUAAUCAUCUCACUUUCUUGCUAUUUCAUAGAAUUGCUACAAUUCUUGACAUCUUAUUUCCAAUUUCUUAAUGCUCCUUUUAAAGUUGCAAUAACGUUUCCUUAAAUUAAGGUGAUCAUCCAAUGUUUCCAUGACCCCCCACUUUGUAGAAAAAAGUAGUUUCUAGUGAUAUGUUGAAGAAACCACUCCCGAUUAAUGGAUCUAGGUUCUUCCAAGUAUCAUCCAUUGUCUACUACAAAAACAGUGACCAUUAUUGUUCCUUACUCUAUGCUAAUGGACAAUGUUAAUGCAUAUAAAGUAUUUAUUUAUUGAUCUAUUUCUAAAUUCAAUGAAUACGUUCCUACUAAUCCCUAUAUGUAGUGAGGGCAUUCCCUGCCUGUUUAAAGAGGUUAGGAACAAUAUGUUAGUUGAACUUCUGAAAUUAAUUAAGAUUCUCUUUACUUCAUAAUUUGACAUUGAUAACAUCACUAUCAAAACAUUAUUGUGUGGUUGGAUGAUACUAUUACUUUGAGCCACAUAGAAAAGUAAGAGUGCGUCCCGAAAUUAAUUAAAAUUCUCUUUAUCUCAUAAUUUGAAAUUGAUAGCUUCACUAUCAAACCAUUAUUGUGUGGUUGGAUGAUACCAUUAUCUUGAGCCAUAUAGAAAAUCAAAAGUGUGUUUGAUAAUAUUUUUACUUGAAAUAUUUUUAAUGUAAGUAUUUUAAUUAAAAGUACUUUAAAAAGAAUUAUCUAUCAAAUAUUUUUUCAAAAAAAUAUUAUAAGUGAUUUUUCAACGUUAUAAGUGUUUCUUAAAUUUUAUCAAAUACCUAAUUUUUUUUAUUUUCAAAAACACUUCUUAAAAUAACUGUUAACAUACUUUAAAUCCUAUACCUCAAGUUUAACAAUUCCCAUAAGGAUUGCAUUUUUAAUGGUACUAAUUAAUUCGUUGCAAGUCACUCAUCCUUCGAGAUCUUUGAUGAGACCCCAAAAAGAGUGUUCGACAGCUUAUCUCCUUGAAUGAUUGAAAUAACCCCAUGUUGCACUUCCACAAACAAUGCCCAUCUCCUUGAAUGAUUGAAAUAACCUCAUGUUGCACUUCCAAAAGCAAUGCUCUGGACCGAUGAUACGCAUAGUACUUGGUAGGUUACAUUUCAAUAGGAUCUCCCUUUAGGCAUCAGGGCUAUUAGAAAUCUAGCAACUGUGGCAAUUCCUUGAAGACUUGUGCAUAAGUCACUUUCAAUUUGGUAUAGAUUGUAUUUAAUUCUUGAGUUUGUGACUUUGUCCUUUUAUCGAGGUUUAAUGAACUCUUUCAUGCAUUGUCAUUUUCCUCUUUGAAGUCUUCCUCAAGAAAAAUACGAAAAGAAAAAAACAUGUUAAAAAAAAACAGUUUUUUAUUGUCGCAUGAAAAAUAUAAUUUUUUUUUAAAUAUUAUUAAAAUUUAAUUAAAUUUUUAUAUUUUUAAAAAUUAUUUAAUUAAAAUAAAUAAAAUGGGUUUAAAGUGAUAAAUAAAAAUAUUUAUUGAUUUUAAAAUAAUUUUUUAUUUUUACUUUCUAUCUAUUUUUUUCUCUUUUUUUGUGCAUCAAACAAUAUUGUCCCAUUUUUCAAAAAGCCCCCAUUAAUAACAUAUUUUGGUUGUGGGAUCAUCGUAAAUUUCAAUCUAUCUAAACCAUUGCUACACUAUAAGGUUCCACGUACUCUCGUGUAUUCUCUCCCCAUCAUUUAAACUUGAGAGAGAGAGAGAGAGAGUUUAUAUCCCUUUGGCAUGAAAACACAUGUAUUGAGAAAUUAAAAGAAUGCACAACUUUUAGAAUGAUGAAAUGCAUCACUUGCAGGUUAUGAAACAAAACCAAGGCUAAUUUGAUAAGAGGUUGUAUGAUAAAGUAAUUUAAUGAUUUAAAGUGAUUUAAUAAUUUAAUUUUAGUUAUUAAGUAGAUUAAACAUGUUUAGUAAAAUAACUUAAUCUUACAAAUUAAAAGUUAAAAUGACUUUAACUAGCAAAUCAAAAUAAUUAAUUUAUUUUUAAUCCUUUUUUUUUAUCUUAUUUACCCACAUUUAACAAAUAUAUUUAACAAUCAUGACUUCAUAUUCAUAUUUUAUAAUAAAUAUUUUAAAGUUAUCUUAUAAAUAUAUAAUGUUUUAAACAUGAAUGUUUAAUAAACAAAUUUAUUGUUUGAAAUUAAUAAAAUAAAUAUUAAUUAAAUUUUUUAUUAAUAAACAUUAAUUACAACUAAUGAGGGUAAAGUAGUCAAUUUAAUACCUUAAAAUAAAUAUUAAAUUAAUUUUAGUAAACAACUUUAAUACUUAAAAUAAAGAAUAAGUAAUAAAUUUUAAGUUAACAAUUUAAGAAUAAUAAGUAUUAAAUUUUACCAAAUACAUAAUAAAUCGGUAGAAAUAUUACAUUAGUUAGGGGUUAUUUGAUAAAACUUAAAACUAUACUUAAUAACUUAAGUGAACUUCAAGUUAAAUUAUAUUUAAGUUGUUGGCUUAAAAUUUAUAACUUAAUUUUUACCUUGUUUGAUAAAAUUAACUUAAAAUUUAUUUUAAAUCAUCAAAUUAAUAUAUUUAUCUUCAUAAAUUAUAAUUAGAGUAAAUGGGGUUGAGUAACAAUUGGAGGUCGUGAAGUAGCAAAAGAAAUCACGGAGGUAACUAGGAGGGCGUUUGUCUUUUUAGCUUUUUGUUGAAAAUAAUUUGUUUUUAGAUUUUAAGUUGUUUGUUUUUUUUACUUUUUCAUGACUUAUUAUAAAUUUUUUUAUUGAAUAGAUAAAGCCAAAAUAUUUGACUUUUUUUAAAUAGAAAAAGUAAUAUGUUGGUUUUUCUUUUUAAUAUUUAAUAGAAAUAAACUAUUAAAAAUAACAAACAACAUUAUACUUAAUACUAUUAAACAUUAAAGUUUUAUUUAGAAUUAAGUAAAAAAACGAAUACCACCUAAUAUAAAAUGAUGAUAAAAAGGUAGAAUGAAAAUGUAAACUUAAGAAUAAGUUAAUUAUUUUUACUUAUUACUUAAAGUUAUUUUUAAAAUCAUAAAAUUAUUUUACUAAACAUACUUAAUUUAUUUAAUAACUUAAAUUAAGUUAUUAUGUCACUUUUAAGUUGUUAAAUUGAUUUUCAAACACUCGCUUAGUCAACUAAAAGAUCAUGAAUUGAUACAAAUAUUACAUUAGAUAGUCAGCUUCAUUCCCUAUCAUCUAGCACACUUGGAAUUUCAAAAAAAUAAAUUUGGUUGGGAUGUCAGCAUCUAGUAUAUCACUAAGAAAUGGAUUGUUUACCAGACCCUGAACAAUUUGACUUAUAAAAUAAGGGACUAUUUUCCUCUUUAUUAAUUACAUCAACCAUGGUUUUCAAAUCAUCCAACUGCUCUUGCGGUGCACCUUUCUUCUUAAGUUGUCUUUGCAAUUGAUGCAUUGCAUGUAAUUUUCCUUUUUGGACAUCAAUAACCAUAUAUCAUCUACCAAAUUCAGUGGUUAAAAAAGGUAAAAAUCAGUUGAUCAUAAUGAUUUCAAAGAAUCAAAAUCUCUAACAAUAAAUCCAUAAAUUUUAAGAGGUUGCAGCCCAUCACUUGUACGCCACCCGGUAAAGAUGCUUCACAGCCAGGUCAAGAACAGGCUCAGUGAACUCAAGCCUGAAGGAGACCCGUGAAUGUAGGUUUGCGGACAUUUUCACGAGUUUCACGCACACGGUAAAGCAUACAUAUUGCGCAGGAGCAUGGAAGAGGGAGAAAAAAAUGGAAGUCAAAGAAGAGAGGUUCCUUUGCUUCCCCCUUAUAUAUUCUAGCAAACUCAUGCUCAAGAGCAAGUUUUUACAAUUUUUGUUCAGGUCAGAAACUCCAGAUUAACAAAGACUACUAGUACAUAUAUAUAAAACAUCCUUCAUCUCAUGAGCUAAGAGGUGUCGUUUACCUCCAACCAGACAACUUCAGGCCAGGGUCUGGAUUCUGGAAUGGUAAAACUGAUCGAUAUUAAAAUGUACAACAAUCUAUGACAUAAUAUCUAGCAUUAUUAUUACACCAUAUCUUAUAUUUAUCUAUGUCAUUCAGAUUAAAGGGGAACCCACUGGGGUUUAUUGGGUUUUAUACCCCACUGAAUGGAUUUAUUCACCUAAUGCUAUAGCGUUUACUAAUAUCGAAGUAGGAAGGAGAAUAGCCCAGCGAGCAAGAAGGAGAAGAAGGUGAGUUUGGAGGAGAAGGGUAAGAAGAGGAGGAAGACGUGGAGGAAGUGAUGUUGUUUGCUGGAUUUCGAAUCAUGAGAGGCACCAUAUCUUCCAGCAACCCUUGUGGACCCAUUUUCUCGGCGGCGUCCUCCUCCUGGACGUGGGUGAACAUGGUUGGGAACGAGCCGUGAUCAGCCGUGGGUGGGCUGCCCUGGGUUUCUUGUAUUUGUGGGGCGUCGUGGACUUGGUCUUGGCCUUCUUGUAAGCCGAUCCUUUUGGGCUUCUUGGAUGGUGAAGGGACAUUCUGAGGUGGGCUGAUAAGGAAGAAAGGGUAGGCGAAGUGGAGGUGGAGCCCUUCAUAGGUGAUGAUCAAGGUGUCCGGGUCCUCACUCGACUUCUCCACCUGUUUUUUGGCGCUGCACCUAGGGUUCGUGCACCUGUAAUAGCUCCUGUCACCCAAACAAAUGAAUUAAGAUAUUAUUUUUCAAUUUCAAAACUAAAAAAUAUGUUACGAUUUGGAGAAUAUAAUAUAGUAAUAUAGAGUGGAAACUUUAUUGUAAUUUCUCUGUCAUACAAUUACCACUUGUACUUGCAAAUUGUGAAGCAAUAAAAUUAGUGGGGAAUGGGAUAAGACGGGUUCGACAAGGAAGUAGUUAGGGAAACUGACCUCUUAAAUGCAAAGUUGAAUGGAUUUGGUCCUAAUAAACAAUGGACUAUACCAAUUUGUACCAGCUCCUUGAAGCCUAAAUAAUUUAUUAAUUAUACCAAUGACCCCUAGCCUUCUAUCUAGUUUCGUUCAUUUCCAUUUUUCUGUCGGGGUCUUCUCAGACUGAUUAGGAAUUUCCACACUAUGGAGACAAAGUCAUCGGUGCCCUCUGCCAUCGAGAUAUUAUGUUAGGAACUUGAGAGAAGUAGCAUUAAUUGGAUAAAGAAAAUGACCCCAUAAAUUAAGCUCUGACCCCGAAGUUUCUCGGACCAGUGAAAUUGAAUGGGGAAGGGUACUUUUGGCAGUUAAAACAGUAAUGACUUGGGAUGAUUUUUCCUCGUGGAAGGAGAACAGGAGACCGUUACCGUUGUCCACUUGUCCAGUAACUUGAUUUUGUGGCAAAAAUGCCUUUACUAAACAGAACUCCGUUGCCUUUAUGGGCUGUACAGGAAAGAAUGCGCCUACCAUGGUUGGUAAUGAAAACCUCUGCAACUUAAUUCCAAGCAAAGUUGGAAGGAGGAGAGUAAUAACCAUGUCAUUUUCAGAGGUUUUUUUUUGUAAAGGUAACGUCGUUUAUUCAUGGGAGAAACUGGAUUGACGACCACAAAGAAAAAAGAAAAAGCAAAGAAUUUGGAAAAAAAUUCACCUUGGAUUUGGGCUAUUCUUAAUGGAUUUCUGCCCAUACUUCCUCCAUUUAUAACCAUCAUCAGCCAUCCCAUUGCCGCAGCUUUUAAUUUUCAGGGUAUACUUGUUCUCAAUCUUACUUAAAUCCCUUUCAUGUAUUGAGGUUCUGCCACCACAGAAAAGAAAUAAAUGCAUUAAAAUAAGCUAGGUCAUCAUAUGUAUACACACACACAUAACAAGAUUUGUAUCAAAAGUGAGUCCGAACCUGGCUUGUGAAUUCUCUUCUGAUUGGCAUUUCCCGGUUGUCAGAGAUAAAGCACUCUCUAUAUCUUCAAUUGUUGGCCCAGUGUAGGCAGUGGAUACCAGCCGACUAAUAGCCUGUUCACUUGACGAACUCAUCAGUUUGGAUUCAACCGUCUCCUGCGGCACCACCAAGAAAGGAGAUUCAUCAUCAAGAAGCUCUCUCACCAGUUCAUCUUCCGAUCCUUCUGUCCAGGCAGCCAUUAGUUCAUCCAUCACUGACCUCCCUAAGACACAGCAGAAUUCAACUGCACAUUAAUUAGAACUUAGACGAAGAUAAGAAGAUGAAAGAUGAAAAUACGAUGAGAACUGGGAGUCAGAAGCCCUAUGGCAACAAAGGAAAGGAAAGGAAAGGAGAGCCGAGCAGAUGAAGAGGGAAUUGAGAUGUUUACGUGUUUGCCCUCUAAUUUAAAAGCAAGAGUUACAGUGAAUUAAAUUAAUAGCAGGGAUACUUUGACUUUUAAAGAAUUCCAUGCAGGUAAACGUCUUCGUUUUGGGAAAAUUCCACAAUGGAGUCGCCACCUCAUUACUCUGGUGGGGCUUCACUCUUUUUACAUACCGGGUUAAUUGAUUGCGUCUAAGCAGCUGCAAACCCAAUUCCAAGUAAAAGUAUGAUGCCUUUGGGGUGCUGUAUCGCUGUCAAAACAUGGGUUUUUAAUCAAUUUAAAAGUUCUUCUGUUCCAUGGAUUAUUCAUCAUGAUCCAAGUCUGAUUCUAGCUGUAGUACCAUUGAGGGCUUAGAUGGGUGGAUUCGCAUCAUUCGCCAUAUGAAGCCGUUACAUUUUUCUAGCUAGUAGUACAGUAUCCCCUCUCCCAUUUUUUGUUGCAUUCUCUGGCUUUUCAUUAAGUGUUUCUUUUGUCUUGCUAUACUGUUUUGAUGGGAUAGAUGCAUCAAGGUGGACCAUAGCUACCUGAACCAUGAUCCAAGACCAACCCAAACCCAAAGUCAACCACUAGGGAAAAACAACAAUAUAAAAUUUAGAUUUUUAGAGUGGUGGUGUUCUAAAUUUUGUGGUGUUAGGAGGAGGUGGAAUUCUGAAUGGCUGUUAAUUAAUCAGCAUGCAUUAUUUGAUAGGUAAUAGCAUUAAAUCGAAGCCUACCACAAUUUUGAUGAUUUAAAUGACCCCAUUUGACUACGAAAUGGACAUGGAAAAUGUCAUAAUCGUUCCCAUAGAGAGGACUUUUAGUUUCUGAGGAGACUGUUAGGCCACACGGCAAGAACUCAGGCUAAUGGAAUAUUUUACAUCAAUUUUGUAGAUGAGAAAGGAGGAAUGGAAAUAUGGAUCGAGCAUAAACUUGGACGUUUUUGUACUUUCUUCUUCAUCUCAUUAAUUAAUAGCCAUCACGGUGGGAUUUUCCAUGGUUUCAAUAACCUUAAACACCUUGUUUGUCAGCAGCAAGUGAUGGAUAAAGUCACUUUGCUGGCUCCAAUUUCUGGAAUGGAAAGAGCUUUAGCUGUCAUAUAAGAUGUAUAUUUAGCAUAUUUACUCAAAACAAAAGAGGAAAUUAACUUAUGAGGCAAAGGACGUGGAUGGCAACACAGAAUAUAUGGCUCUAGUGGUGAAGAUCUUAGAUGAUUAUUAAAAAAACACAAGCCAAUAAGGGAACAACAGACGGGUGAUUCCAGUAGCCGGAAAUGGACAACAAAUAAAUUGUCCUCUUAAUUGAGGUAUCUACCCUAAAAUUAUGCAACCACCACGGGUGGUGUGGAUGGAUUGGGUCCUUGGGAGGGCAGUUGCAUAAACAACACAAAGUGGUUGCUUCAAAGUGAGGGAAGGUUUGUUCUCAUGUGGGUUUGACUUGUGAAAUGCGAGUCCUAGAAAACAAGCGCAUGCAUCAGAUGGGUGACCUUACAUAAGGACAGAGCGGGGGUUGACUGUCAGAGUGGGGGGUUUAGGUCUUAGCUACCGAUGGAGGAGGGAGUGGGCGCAGGUUGAGCUGGAGAGUGAAUCUUGGAGGUUUUCCAUACAAGUCAACGCCCCCUUCUAGAUGUGGGGGCCAAGACUGUGAUACAUGUUUCCAAGAUCACAUGUGGAGAAGGGAGCGGUUCGAGCUGUCCCACUCCUCCCCACAAAUGGACACCCUAGCAAACCCAUCAUCCAUUCUUCCCCUCCACCCUAGACAAUUUCCUACAGCUGAGAUGUGGGUCUCUCUUGCCUACGUGGUCGCCUAAUCAUCCAUUCAUUCUUCUCCCCUUCCACUGCAUGAUUGCCUUCCUCAUCUCCUGCUCAACCCUAUCAUCAAUCCAUCACCCCUUAUUCUCUUCUGCUCAUGAGACCCGGAUCUCCGUGAAGCCACAUGCAAAAUUAUGUCGUAUAUUUUACUCGUUGGUCAAACGGUAUUAAUUGAUGAGUGAAUAAUUUGGUUCUUAUCUUUCUCAUAAAUUUAGUCUCGUAUGAAAAACAUUAUAAACAAUUAUAUUUUAUUUUAAUAAUAAACCCACAAUAAAUUAUUCAACCACCAAGUCCCCACAAACAGCCAGCAUUUUUCUUGUAUUGAUUGAUUGAUUGAUAUUUUAAGGCUACUUCUUUUUUUGGAAAAUACUAACAAAAGAAAAAAAAAUGAUAAAAAAAUAGUUUUUUAUGUUUAUUUUCAUAAUGAAAAAUAUAAAAAAAAAUCAAAUAUAAUUAAAAUUUGUUAAAAAAAUUAUAUAUUUUAAAAUUAUUUAAUUUUUAUAUAAUAUAAGAAAAUAAGUAAAAUAAAUUUAAAAAUAUAUAUAAAAAUAAUUUAUUGAAUUUAAAUUUAUUUUUUUAUUUUUUAUUACUUUUUCUUUAUAUUUUUCCUCAAAAUUUUCAAAAACCAAACAUAUUAAUCAAAGCUAGAUAUUAGCUUUGAUUAUUGAAAUGGAGCUCCUCUAUUGAAAUGUAAAGCUUGUGUCCCCAAGGCUAUAAACCAGGAAAAAACUAAUCGACCCAUAACGACCAUAGUCUCAUUGGGAAAGCUGCAGAACGAUAUGCAAGAACUUGCGAGUAUCAUUGGAGACAUCCGACAGCGUUCACAGCAAUCAGAUGAAUUUAAAAUUGUGAGGCAGAAGGCACGUGGGUUGACUUUUGGUAUUGCUUGGAAAAACAGAGAGUCAGUUUUCAUCCAUAAUAUUCAAGCGAAUAGAGACAAACAAUUGACUCGGCCGCUGGAGAGAGAUUACAUGAAUGGAAGGCGCAGUGGCUGCAAUUAAGUAUGAUGGGCCACGAUGCCCAGGCCCACACCACAUGCGUGAUUCAAAUCCCAUCCCUAUCAGACUGCCUUGUCGUGUUAUAAAGCUAUUCAAAUAUAACAUGAACUCUCCAUUUUGUUUUCUGGCAAUGGAAGCUGUUUUAUGCGAUGAAUAACCCUCAAAUUGAUCCUCCUUUUUGAGUUUGGUGGCUUUGUAAUUUGAUGGGCCUAGUUUUUUCCUCCUUGCCCAAAGAGUCAUAAGGUGGGCUGCAAUCUCCGAAAUUGGGCAUGGGCCUGUGCACUAGUACCAUUGGGCCUGCGUUACGUUUAGUGAGCCAUGAAGAUAGGGUAGGCCUAUUAGAUAGAUGGACCUAUAUGUUCCCUGAAGGCCAAGGCAUGACUAUGGGCUUCAACUACCACUGUUUGGAUAGCAUGGCCAUAAUAGUUUCCCUUAUUUUGAACCUCUACUCUUCAAGUUACAAGGCCACCUCACUUACCACACAGUUAUGCAAUUGUUUUUUACUCUUUUUUGCCUCCCCUAAAAAUAAAUUAUUGUUCUUGUCCCCACUCAACUUAUUUUCUAACUCCGCCACCGCCUAUGCUCCAAUAUUCAUCUUCUCAUUUAGACUAAUUUUGUGUUUAAGAAAAUAAUGAAUAAAUUUAGACUAAUAAAGAUGAGAGUGUAAGCAUCUAUGACAUUCUUUCAAUAUAUAAUCCAUUGUCUGAUCUCCCAAGUUGAUUUUGGUAUAAAAGUAUAAUCACAUAAUCUUGAAUCAAAUGUUCUUGAAUCAAGUACAAUCAAGGAAUGGUCGAACUUGAACUCAACUUUAUUACAAGUUUGAUCUUAUCCUAUAAAAAUUGGGGAAUAAAACUUGUUUACUUGAUGUUUUGAUCUUCUUUCAUAGGUUGGUAAAGACAAUUGAAACUUGUGAGGAAUACUUCAACUUGUUGUAAAUCAUGUAUAACUCUAGCCUCUUCCCUCUUUGAAGUAGAAGAAAAGCUUCUCUAAAGGAAAAUUUGUAUUUGAUAUUUUGAAAAAAAAAAUUGAAUAUUUCCAUGGUAAGCCUUCUCUCAAUGCCAAUAUACAUCACCUAAAUAAUACAUAUUGAGAUGAUUUGGACACAUCAAAUUUCUUUGCUCACAAGUAUCAAUAUUUCAAGUCCUAACUUCAACAUGUGCUUGUUGAAGGUGGGAGUGGAAGAUUUUCCAUUUUUCUUUUUUAACAUGAAUAGGAAAACUUCAUGUCAAAUAAGCUUUUGAAGAAACUUCAUUGAUUUCUAUUAAGAUUUUUCUAUAUUUUCUUUCUUAUAGAAUCCAAGAAGAAGGUUACAUCCAAAAAAAUUCUCUCCAUUUAAAGUUGGAUGUUUUUUUCCCCAUAUUUGAGACAAUAUAAUUUUUUUCCUUCCUAUAGAGGCUUUCUCAUGGCUUUUAAACAUGGAAGCUUUUUCACCUUCUUUCAAGCUUCCAAUAAGAGGUAUAUCUACUUCUCUCUCACUCCCAUUCUCUCUCUAUCUCUCUCACUCCCUGUCUUAUGUAUUAGACAAAAAGAAAAACUUCGCUUUUCUUUGAACAUUUUUUUUUCUUUCUUUCCCCAUUCCUUUAGACAUAGAUGGGAAAGAAAUAGAAAACAAUAAUUUUUUUUUAAUUAAUUCUUCUUUAGAUAUAGAUGACAAAACUUUGGCAUAAUAUCUAGAACUUGAUAUAUACAUGAUUAUGAUUGGGACUUUGUUCCUAACUUGACAAUUACAUGCUUGUGAUCGAGAAUUAAUUGGAAUUCAUUAGUAAAAUAUUAAUGUUCAUUGAAUAUUAAGAUUUAAACAAUGUAAAUUUAAGUGCUUCACUAUAAUGAUAAAGUCAAUUCAUUGAAAAUCAAACUUACAUUUAUAAACUUGUAAUUGAGACUUUAGUGGGGAUCAAAUAUCAAUAUUUGUGACCCAAGUAGACUUACCUUGAUCCUUAAGUAGAGUGGAAAUUUCAAUAGUUAAUACAAAAUGAAUUGAAUCCGGGUGCAAAAUUUGAUAUCCAAUCAAUUGACAUGACUAUGUUGUAGAGGGUGCUAAAAUUUUGGUGCUUGAUAGAAAUUGAGGUGCUAAAUUCAACUCCUAACAUAUUUGUCAUGACUCUUGAAGGAUGGUGAUGUUAUAACUUUAGCAUUUGAUGCACAUCUGAAUGCAUUUGAGUGGUAAAUUUGGCAUUUAAUCGAUUAGACAUGACCCUGAUGUAAAGUGUUAUUGAGAUUUUAGCAUUCCUAAAAAUGGGGUGUUACCCUUACUUCUCAUCAUAGGUUGGUAUAAUAUUUUAUAGAUAUGAUAUCAUGACUUUGACAUUAUAUUGAUUUUUUUUUAUUUUGCAUUUCUAUACAUUUUUUUUCCAAAUAUUUUGUUUUUUGUUUUUUUUAUUAUAUAUAUUUGAGAGAAGACCAUACCAUUAUUGAUGAUGUAGACAAUGAAUUUGGUACUCACACAAAAUAACAUGAUGUUGAUAUAAAACGUUUUCAUAGUGCUGAAAUCAACAUCAAAAUAGAUUGUCAUUUCACUAGUAGGCAACAUGCAUUUUGGCACCCAUGUAGAGUAUUUUGGUGUUAAUAUAGAGUAAUGUCAAUGGUUUAUCACUAAUCGUAGAAUGGCUCCCCUCCUAAUCAAUGGGAACUUAGAUCUAAAGUUAGAAUCAACAAAAGAUGAACUUGGCUUUUAACAAAGACUAGUAUCGAAUUUUAGCAUUUAUUCCAAAUUAGUAUUGAAAUUGACAACUAACAAGUCUAGAAAUAUGUUAUUCUUUCUUCUAGGGGUCAGUAGAUUGUUACAAGCACCUCCAUUAUUGAAAUAAAAUUUGAUUAGUGCAAUAUGCUUAUUCCGCUAAGUUAGUUCUAGAGAGAUAGUCAUCAUCAAUGGUAAUCAUAUCUUAGCUUAUAAAGUCACUAUGUUCUAAGAGUGUAAGACAAAUCACAUUUGAUGAUUUUGGAUUGACUUAAUUACUCUUGAGGUUAGAUAAGAUGUCUUAAGGAAUAAACAAUAAAUGAAACCAGUUAUGACUUUAUUGUGAAAUGUAAUAAACAAUUCAUCCAUAUAUAGGAUGGAAUCUCACAUUUAAGGAAGGAAUAAGUCUUCAUUAUCCAAACCCUUGUAUUUAUUAAUGUUGAUACCAAGACCUUGGUGACUCUUUGGAAUAUUUUAGAGAUCUAAUGCGAUGAGCUUGCAUGUUUUUCAUAGACAUGAUGGGCAUGGGCUUAUUAGCUAAUGUGAUCAAUAAAUGAAGAUCUCAUUUGAUGUACCUGCAAAUAAUCUUAUUACAUUUAUCAUUUAUAGGUGAGAAUGAAAAUUACUUCAACUACUUUAAAACACUGCAUUUUUAUGCAGUUUCAAAGAUUAAGAAUCCACCUAUUAAAUAUUAACUAAUUGCAAGAAAACAAUGUUCAAAAGUUUUUUAAAAUCUAGGUAUCAACGGUUUCUUUCUUUCUUUUUUAUUUUAUUUUAUAAUAAUCUAAGCAUUAUUUAUUACAAGAAAAAGAAAAACCAGAUAUGAAAGGGUGCUCUCCAAAUUAUUAGGUAUUUAUAAAAAAACAACAAAAUUCAGAACUUUCUAAGCUGCGAUGGAAUAUUCAUUCUCUUGUAUUUUCUAAUUGACUCUAAUAUUAGAUUUUUUUCUCUUAAUAAGACAAUAAUGUCCUUUUACAGAUCUGACCCGGGUGAUCAAGGAUUUAAUCACUAUUUAUUUACCAAAAAAAAAAAAAAAUCUGAAAGUUCUCUUAAAUAUAUGAUUAAAUAUUUAUUUGCUUAUUCUUUGACGUGGUUGAACUAAAAAUUUAAUAACCUCUUUUAAAAUUUAAAGUGCAUUUAGUACUGAUUUUAAAAAAUGUUUUUCAUAUUUUUAACACUUGAAUUUUUAUUUUUAUUUUUUAAAUAUUAAAAACACUUCCUAAAAUCAUUAUCAAACAUAUUAUUAGAAUAAAAUAUUAUAGUGUUUUAAAAUUAUAUAUUAUAAUGUUUUUUUUUGUAAACCCAAUUAAAAAAAUCUAAAAGAUUUUCUAAAAAUCUAGGAUUGAAUAUUCAUUCUCUCUCAACUUUCUAUUAGUUAAUAUAAGAAUAAUUUCCUUUUCUGCAUGUCCCAAUUUUUAUGAUAAAAAUUCUAAUUAUCGAUUUUUACAAGAAGAUAACAUUCAAAACUUUUUUAGAGAUGGGUUGUAUAAAAGACUAAUAAGGAUGAAUUGACUUUGAGCUUAAAUCCGAGUUAAAGGUAAAUGAUGAGAACUUAAGAAUGGUAAGGAUCCAUGUAUGAGGACUGUGUUAAAAUAUGGACGCACAUAUAUGUAACAUAUUUCCUGAUUAUGCUAUUCACCUUUUUCAGUAUUUGUUUUGUAUCAAUUUUGUAACAUAUCACCUUAUGUGUAGAGCCCAGUGUCAUAAUGGGUCUUAGAUGAUGAGCCUAAGAUUCGCGAGACCCAAUAGUCUAAAGGGUAUAGCCCUUAAGAUAUAGAGGGCAUAUAUAAAAGGCUAAGUGUAUGUUCCUUGGUAUCACAUCUUUUGAAUAAAAACAGAACUCGUUGUCUCUCGCUCCUAUUGUCAGAGAGAUUACAAAUCAAUUGUGAUAAUAAGGUCGCAGAAUUGUAUUCUAAAAACAACCGAAGUUCAUCAAAGUCCAAACAUAUCGACAUUAAGUUCUUGGUUGUGAAAGAAAGAGUUCAGAGUCUUCAAAUAUCAAUUGAACAUAUAAGCACAAACUCCAUGAUUGUGGAUCCGCUCACUAAAGGUUUGCUACCCAAAGUAUAUCAUGAGCAUGUCACACAUAUGAGUGUUAUACACAUUGAUGAUGUGCUAGUAUAGUGGGAGUUUGUAUUUAGAUUUUGUGUUUGUUUUCUUGAUGUGAUAUUAUGUUGUGUCAUUUGUACAAACCUUGAUUUUAAAGACUAUUGUAUUUGAAUACUCUGAAUUGAAAUGAUGACUUUCAGAAACAGUUUAGCAUCAAGAGUUGAAAGUGGAAUUUGACUAUUUUUAGUCAUUAAGUAGGACCAAUUGGAGAUAAACAUAUUAAAUAUCACAUUUUAUGUAAUUUCCAUGCUACACAUCCAUAUUUGAUCCAUGAUGCUAAUUUUGUUAAUGUUGUGAUCAUUGAUGGGUCUAGUUAUAAUUAUAAUUAACGAAGGUCGCUUUAAUCAUGUGUUAACAUAAUUAGUAGACCGGAUUGUUUAAGGAUAUUAAGAUAGAAAAGCAAGAUAAACUCAAUAAAGUAUUAUCAUGAACAUUGUUUUGUAAUAUAUGUGGUCCAAAUGGGAGAUUGUUAAAAUAUGGAUGCACAUAUAUGUAACAUAUUUCUUGAUUAUGCUAUUCGUCUUUUCUGUAUUUGUUAUGUAUCGGUUUUGUAGAGUAUGGGCCACCUUAUGUGUAGAGCCUAAUGCCAUAACGAGUCUUAGAUGAUGGACCUAAGACUCGCGAGACCUAAUAAUCCAAAGGGUAUGGUCUCUCAGGCAUAGAGGGCAUAUAUAAAAGAUUAAGUGUCUGUUCCUUGGUAUUACAUCUUUUGAAUAAGAACAGAACUCGUUCUCUCCCACUCACAUUGUUAGAGAGAUUUUAAAACAAUGAAUAAUUCUCUAUAGCUUUAAAAGAUCUGUACCUCUUCAACAAAAACAAAAUAGAUUCAGGUUCAUUCCUAUACGAUGAUCAAGGCAUGUUGUUGAAUAUAUCUGAAUCUGUGUUUGGAUGAGAAUGGAGAAUAAAAUAUUACAGAAUGGUCUUGGCCUCUAGGUGAACUUAAGAGUUGAUGGUCUUCAUUCAACUUUAAUUGCAUAGGAUGCCACAUCUAACUCAUUAUUAAUGGCUCAGCUUUAGGUUAGGUGAUCGUCAACUGACAAUUGAGAAUAUUUGCUUUUGAUGAGACGUGUGUGUGGUCAUGUACGUCUUAUUACACUGAGUUAUGUAAGUUGGUUUUGACAAAUGGAGACUAGUGAGACUUUCGACUUAUGGAGGCGUCCACGUUUCAUCCUCGCUAUAAUCCUUGCGAAAUUCGUCUCUAUUGGGUUGUUGCGUAUCAAUGGAUGAUGUCGUGCUUAGGGCUAACCACUCAGCUCGAAUACAGUGUUGGAUAAGAUAGGCGGGCGGUGUGACCUUUGGAGUCCAGGUGGUUUUGUCUGGAAACCGGGCUAUGGUGUGUCGGGCCAAAUCGAGUUACCGACGUCCGUUUAGUCCGGCCCGGAUCGUACUAUACGCGGUCCCUCCAGAAAUGAUGACAGACAUUUCAGUAAUCAGCAGUUCAGGGAAGAGGAUUGCUCCCCUGUAAAAUUCAUUAUUCCAAUUAUGAUAAGUUGGGCCCACUCGGGGGACAGCCAUUUCACAAAUGGAUACACUCUCAUUACAUCCGUAUCUAAUCCUUUUGCUCACAGCCCAAUCUCCACCGUCACAUCGAUUAAAGGGACCCACCUCAGAUGAUCUGGAGCAAUUAAAGGACCAUCGGGUGGCCCAGAUUCAAACGAAAAUGGAUUCCCGCGCAAAUGCCGACCGAGGGAGGAGCCGCCGCUUCGUCUGAAAAGAAUGAAAAAAACGCGGAUGGAAUGAAGGCCACGUGUACACACACGUGGAUUAAGCGAUGGCGAAUAUAGCGGUGGGUGACAGCACUUGCUUAGUUGUAAUGCAUUCUGACCGCACGAUCAAAUGGGGUUGAGCCAUACUUGGGCGGAACAACCCAUGUUCCCCUGCUCACUUUCCUCACCCCCUUCGCCGGAUUUCGAAUUUCAAAAAUAAAAUUAAAAAUUAAAAAUUCCUAAUUUUUAUAUAUAAUAUACCCACCCCUGUCCGCUAUUCUCAUUUCAUUUUCAGAAUUUUUAUAUACUCUACGAUUUCGUCAAGGGACGCGACCUUCAGCGAAUAAUGGGCGCCAAGGCUGAGACUCUGUUGGUAGAGAAGGAAGAAUGUACGACACCCAAGAGCUCCGAAAGCCGAAUACUGCCGCCGACUGUGUGCCCGCCACCGCCGAAGAAGCAGCGGGUGGCGUCCAAGAGGAAUCUACCCAAGGAGUACUUCCGCCCACCUGAGCUUGAAUCUUUCUUCGCCAUGAGCACUCCCAGCAGAAAAGCUUGUGCCUAGACCCCUCCCUCCUUUACUAUUUGUUUCGAGUCCAUGUUUAAGUUAAAUGGAAAGGGGGGUUGUGUUCUGUGAAUAUCGUUGAGUCCCGUUGGCGGCCCUCCGUCAUUAAUCUUAGGAAUUUUUCUUUUCAGUUUUGGAGUUUGUAAUUCUGUAGUUUCUGAUUCUCGCGUUCUGCGUUCUACAUAUGUUGUAUUUAGGUCGACAAAGGAUAUAAUAUUUCCGUGAUCGAGUAUGCAAUUCUACACAGUGAUUAUGGUGGCUCUUCACUGAUAUUUCAUUAUGAAUGAUGGUGGGAUCCAAUGAAGAUGGUUUGUGGAAUAAGUUGGUAGAAUAUCAAUACGAAUGUGACGAUAUCGUGUGGGGACACUGGCUAGCUACACGGAGUCGUAGUCACCAGUGAGGGUGGCCAAAAAAACCCAGCAAUGGAGUUCCGUAUGAGUCCCCAGGUGACGUGACAAAGCACAGAUCUCGAUCAAGGGGCCCUUUUUCAGCAACGUAGGUGGGCUCAGGUGGACACUGUUCUUAGUUCUUUUACGUUUGGGGAGUGGGUGGUGGUGGUGUGUGGACUCUGUCCUGUUUCAUUUUUUACUGUUCCAUUGCCUGAGCUUGGUGUUGGGAUAAUGCUUAUCCUUUUAGCCUCUUUAUUAGUCUGCAUGUCAGAGAAACUAACUUAAUCACCAAAUUGCAAAAAUGUUGUCCACACUUGAUUACCAUGUUUAUGCUUGUAAUUUAGAUGAAUUUGCUGGCAUAAUUUAAUUUAAUUUACUUUCAUGAUAAGUAUGAAAAUAUCAAAUUUAGGUAGAGGAAAAAAAGGAAGAAAGAAAAUAGUACAAAAGUAGAGGUGUGUCCCAUGUAACACUUCCUUCUAAAGGUAAAUUCAAACACAGGAUCGAGACUUGUCUUGGCGUAGCAGGUAGAUGACAGGAGGCAACAAUCUAUCUCUUGACAACGGCCAAGGCUUUUCUUUGAGAGGAUGGAAGAUGGAUGGAGAAUAGCCUACAAGGCUACACAGAGAACAUCUUAAAAAAGUUGCUUGCUACAUAAAGGUGGUUGGUAUUUUUUUUUGGGUCUAAUAAAUCAAUAAUCCAUCAAAAGGAUGGAACUUGCCUACUUUUCAGUUCGUGAUAAUUAGUUGGUUUAACCUCGAUUUUGAGUGGAAUCUCCUCGAUUUGAUUCGGAGAAAACACUUGAUCCCCUUCAGUACGACUGCAGCUUUUAGCAAAAUAUUUAUUUGAAAAGAUUAUUGUAAUGAUGGGGCUUUUAUUUAAUUAUGAAGUAUUUUAUUUUAAUAAUAAAGAAUAGUGUGGAAAAAAUAAAAUCACCUUUAAUUUGGAGAACCCAUACAUUACUAAACACGGAGUAUAAAAUUCUUCAGACUUUAACAUGAGAUACGUCUUCUGGCUCGAGUUUUCUUGAAAGAGAAUCUUAUCUAUGAAUAGAUAUGAAACUCAACCUAUAAAAAGGAUCGUAAAUGUAUUUUUUUUAUACAUGACAAGUUUUGUUUGGAACUUUGUUUACUGCUGUCGGUAGGCUAAACCUACAGCAGUGUUCUUCAAGUAGUUAUCGUCCGCCAUCUCUGUAUUUUUGGCAGUGGAACUCACUGCCCCAACCCCAACUUCCAUUACUUCGUCUUCAUAAAACCAAAGGGCGCCUAGUAUCAAAUGCCACGUACCCAACGGGGUAGAAAGACUUGUUAACUUGUUGCCGAAUAUGCGUGUCAUGUAGACUUGUUUUUUUUUUUUUUCCCUUUUUAUCUUUUUGUGUUAAAUUGUUGAUUGAAUUGCUCUGUUACUUAUCUGUCUAGCACUUAUAGACUGAGGGCGUACAGCUCCGCGGCGAUAGCGGUGGGAUGACACCUAGAUUUGAGUAAGCAAAGGUUGCUUUUCCUUGUGCCAAAUGAUGUCAUUGGAAUUUUUAAUGAUCUGCUUCCCCGUUUGCCUCAUUUUCAUCUUUUAAUGAGUACUUAUUGUUUAGUGGUGGACAUUAUGCUAAACGAUCUUUGGUUGAUAGGGGUCUAAAUUCGUCUCAUAAUUUUGACCAACUUUUCGGCUUUGACCACACUUUUAGCUUUUUUUUUUUUUUUUUUCAUUGCUAAUUGAUGAUAUAUAUAUCAUGAAUCUAUGAUAAAAGUGAAAUAGGCACUAACUCUCAUGAUACAGAUUACUUAAGCUCAUGUUAGAAAGUGUUUUGAAAGGUGUUAACUCCCUUUCUACUAUCAACACAAUUAGGCGCCAGCACUCAAUUAGUAGCUUGACAUGUCACUUGGCUCCUGUAAGACAAUUAAACAUACCUCUUUUAUUAGAAUCAUGGUCACAUCUUUAAAUCUUCUGUUGUGAAUCUGAGAUUGCAUUGGUGUUAUUUUUGGACAAAAUUAAAUUCUAAUUAACCAAGUAACCGUAAACUUAUUCCAUCUGUGAUUGCUAACAUCAAGUUUGAUCAACUUUAUUGAAGUUUGAAUUUUCAACUCCUUUCAUACGAAUACUAAUUAUCUAAUAUACCUUUUGCCCUCCUUGUUAUUAGUUCAGUUACUUCCUAAAUCACCAUACCGAAAGAAGUAUAUUUAAUGGUCAUACACCUAGCUGGCUACUUAGCUAUGGCGUUAGGAAAUAUGGGUCACCCUGAACAAUCAAGAUAAAAGUGAAAUAGCGAGUAAAGGUCCUUGAAUAUUUUCAAUACAUAGCUUGUAAAAUCAACAAUUUAUAGCUUGUUUCUGUC
rnacentral:lncRNA from 1 species